GUAUCCCCCACCCCUUAUAAACAUCUCAGACAUGUAUACGACCAUCUCUGUAUGUUUAACAGACCAGGAACUCUCUACCCCUCCACCCGAGGCAUGUUAAGUGAUCUGUCUGGUACUGUGUGUGACCAAGUUUGCUUAUAGAGGUCACAUAUCCCUUCAGAGAUGCCAGGACAUUGUUGCUGAUUGACCCAUAAUAUUAGCUUGGCAGUGAUUAACAAGAAGACUGCAUGAGGACUCAGAAAUGUCACCAUUUUGGCUGUAUGAAGAGAGGCAUUCAUGCUGUGUGCUGGGCAGCAUCUCUCUUCUGGUAGAUGGUUGCAGCUUUAAACCGGCUGAAAAUUUGAGAAUGCAACCUUGGGCCCAGCCUGCUACCUUAAAAAAUGUUAUGGCCAUUGACUGAGUGUAAUGAAGCCCAGCUGUUGUGGUUUCUUCGCUGCUAGUUCUAAUAGUGGCCGUGGAGCUAUAAAUCAAGGCCUCUUUUGAGACACGGAGGAAAGAAAGUGUCUGGGUCCUCUCUUGAUACCUGCACCGCACUGUGGUGCAAAGUGAAACUCACCAACUCAGGUGGCCAAAACAAGCAGAUGUUUAGCCGGCUAAGUGUAAAGCGUUGGGGAAAUGACUUUAUGGGCCUUUGGCUGAGAUGCUUCCAUUUGAAUGUCAUACACAGGAAGUCAUCAGGUAGUGGAAUAAUAUAAACAGACCUUACCUCAUGAAGUGAUUUAUUUUGGAUUGCUGGCAGCAGCAACAGCCUCUAGCACAAAGAAACAUAAGGACUUACUUCUUUUAUUUGAGAGAUUUUUUUUUUCCCCAACUGGUAAGGGCUGCCUGUAAUGAAGAAAUGGGGACACUGCUUUCUUAAUUACAGCACGUAUUCAUCAUCAGAGGGGCAAGGUUCACUAGUGGCAGAAACAAUUCCCAAAGCACUUGUAGCGCUAUGAUCUCUUCAGCCUCUCCGAUAACCUGUGGAAGAAGGGAUCAAUGUCUGUAGCGAAUAUGUGGAGAAACUGAGGCAUCACAGGCCAGCCAAUGAGCCUGACCAAAGCCACAACAUGGUAAAAACAGAGGGACAGAAAUUGCAGUUGUCUUCUAAGAUGGAAGCUCUUUCUCCUCUGUUUUAUUGUAGUAGGUGGGGAAUGAGGUGAUCUUAGAUGGUGACCAACACAAGAAGAUGCAACAGUUUUGGCUCUGUCUUAGUCUAACUUAGAAGGUGAUAGGGUCUAAUGGCACAAUGACUGAUAUAGCUUGACUCUGGUUAAACUUAAAUUGUAGAGCUGUCCUACCUAGAUUCCAGCUCUCGGUGAGCCACUUAUAUGUGAUCAUUUCAUCUCUAAUCUCAGCCUCAGUUUCCUCCUAGGCUGUGACGGGGUUGACAGGAGUCUUGCCUUAUUGGGACAGUUGUGAAGAUUCAGUGAGGUAGCAUUUGCAAAAUACUCAGAACCUGCCUGGUACAUUGUAAGAGAUCUGUAAGUUUGUUAAGUAAAAACUAAAACUAGUUUAUUGAUUCUGUUAUUUUGUGGGUACAUUGAAUUCAGGAAAGGUAAAGUAGGGACUUCUGAAAAAAAUGAAUGAGAAUAGUUUUGCAGUAAGACAGAUAUCAUGGUGGAAGUCGUGUGGAGGGAAGAGCCCUAGACUGUGCUCUGCCUUCCCAGAAGGGAAGGAGUCAGAGAUCAUCAGCCUGUAUCCAGACACUUCUUGUAUACAUCUCACCUCCAAUUUUUAAAUAAAAACCCUGUCUUUUCAGUUCUUUAAGUCAAUAGUGUACGUAUGAACGCUCCCUUUAACAAGAUGAACAGCUUCAGUCAGCUCGCCCAACCCCAGGACCAGAAAGUCACCUUGGUUUUUCGCUCUGCUUAUUUUAGUCAGAAACCAGCUCUGACCCAGGGUGUUGGAGGGAAGGGAUUUGGGGAAUCUGGGACAAGGUGGGGACUGAUCAAUUGCAAAAGCCAGACACUGUGGCCAUAAAAAGGAGACAGGAGGGAGAAAUGCCGCAAAGCGAGUCAUCAUGUUUCCACACCGGACGGUUACCUCAUUGAGACAGAGAGGAACAAGAUCUGCUGAUAGGGUCAUUCCUAUCUGUCAGAUGGCAGGAGGAAAUGAAUACGCCAUUUGGAGGCUUCUUGGAGAAAUGUUUCAUUGUACUCUGCUCCUCACUGGACUGAAGUCUUUGUUCUGGUAAAAAAAAAAAAAUAAAAAAAAAAAUCACAUAAUCGAA
rnacentral:lncRNA from 1 species